rnacentral:rRNA from 1 species
GAAUUUUCUAAGCUUGCUUAAGCAAAUUCUUAGUGGCGAACGGGUGAGUAAUACGUAAGCAACCUACCUAUAUGAAUGGGAUAACUAUUAGAAAUGAUAGCUAAUACCAUAUAGCUAAUAAGAGGGCAUCCUCUUAUUACUAAAGAUGCGUUUGCAUCGCUUAUAGAUGGGCUUACGGUGUAUUAGCUAGUUGGUGAGGUAACUGCUCACCAAGGCGAUGAUACAUAGCCGGCCUGAGAGGGUGAACGGCCACAUUGGGACUGAGACACGGCCCAGACUCCUACGGGAGGCAGCAGUGAGGAAUAUUGGGCAAUGGACGGAAGUCUGACCCAGCCAUGCCGCGUGCAGGAAGACGGCCCUAUGGGUUGUAAACUGCUUUUUUAGAGGAAUAAUAAGUCUCACGUGUGGGACGAUGAAUGUACUUUAAGAAUAAGGAUCGGCUAACUCCGUG